rnacentral:piRNA from 1 species
UGACAAUCUACAACAGUCCUGUGAGGGAGUC